AUACUGUACUAUGGCCAGGAUGUGUUAGCUAAAGGUAGUGUAAACAAGACCAUACUGUACUAUGGCCAGGAUGUGUUAGCUAAAGGUAGUGUAAACAAGACCAUACUGUACUACGCCCAAGAUGUGUUAGCUAAAGGUAGUGUAAACAAGACCAUAC